CGGAGAGGGAGCAUGAGAGACGGCUACCAGGUCCAAGGACAGCAGCAGGCGCGAAAAUUACCGCAGUCUCCAUUGAGAGCGGUAGUAAGGAGACGUGAAAACGAUUUGCAGGUAAAAAUUGCAAUGGAUACAGGAGGACAAGACUGGUGCCAGCACCCGCGGUAAUACCAGCUCCUGGAGUGUCUAUGAUGAUUGCUGCAGUUAAAGAGUUCGUAGUCGGGGCAGGAUUUCAGGCGUUACAGGCCAUCCAUCAAAGGUGGUUCUGCGCGGGAAGACUGCAGGAUAAGGAGCGUCUAGGGGCCAGGUUAUUAAGCGACGAGGGGUGAAAUCUUGUGACUCGCUUAGGAGCAACAGAGGCGAAAGCGCUGGCCAGGGGCGAGUUCGAUGAUAAAGGACGUAGGCUAGAGGAUCGAAGACGAUUAGAGACCGUUGUAGUUCUAGCAGUAGACGAUGCCGAUGCCGUGGUGCCUAUUGUAUGGCGACGCGGAAGAGAAAUCGAGUAGGGCCCUGGGGAGAGUACGCGCGCAAGCGAGAAAUUUAAAGGAAAUUGACGGAAGAACACCACAAGGAGUGGAGUGUGCGGCUUAAUUUGACUCAACGCGGGACAGCUUACCAGGCCCGACAACCGCACGAGUGUAGUACACGAUAGGUUGGAGAGUGGUGCAUGGCCGUUAACGACGAGUGGGGUGACCUUUGGGUUAAGUCCGGGAAGUAGUGAGACCCCUGCCGAAAGGGACAGGUACGCAAAGUACAGGAAGGAAGGGUCAAGAACAGGUCAGUGAUGCCCUUAGAUGGUCUGGGCUGCACGCGCACUACAGUGGUCACAGAAAUUUUUAUUGUAGAGAUAAAGGUGAUCGAGAGGGAACGAGCUUUGGAAGAGGCUCGGGAACGAGGAAUUGCUAGUAAUCGCGAGCUCAUUAAGGCGCGAUGAAUACGUCCCUGUUCUUUGUACACACCGCCCGUCGUUAUCGAAGAUGGAGUCAGGCGCGAACAAGCGAGAGCGAGUGAGUGCAGGGUUCUAGAUGUGAUACAAGUCGUAACAAGGUAACC
rnacentral:rRNA from 1 species